AGCAGCAUGGCUUAGUGGCCAGAGCAUGGGCUUGGGAGUCAGAGGACGUGGGUUCUAAUCCCACCUCCGCCA
rnacentral:tRNA from 1 species